rnacentral:rRNA from 1 species
AGUGAACGCUGGCGGUAGGCCUAACACAUGCAAGUCGAACGGCAGCACAGUAAGAGCUUGCUCUUACGGGUGGCGAGUGGCGGACGAGUGAGGAAUACAUCGGAAUCUACUUUUUCGUGGGGGAUAACGUAGGGAAACUUACGCUAAUACGGCAUACGACCUACUGGUGAAAGCAGGGGAUCUUCGUACCUUGCGCGAUUGAAUGAGCCGAUGUCGGAUUAGCUAGUUGGCGGGGUAAACGCCCACCAAGGCGACGAAUCGUAGCUGGUCGGAGAGGAUGAUCAGCCACACGGGAACGGAGACAGCGACCAGACUACUGCGAGACGCAGCAGUGGGGAAUAGUAGACAAUGGGCGCAAGUCUGACACAGCCAGCCCGCGUGUGUGAAGAAGGCCUUGCGGUUGUGAAGCCCUUUUGUUGGGAAAGAAAAGCAGUAGGUUAAUACCACGCUGUUCUGACGGUACCCAAAGAAUAAGCACCGGCUAACUUCGUG